rnacentral:snRNA from 1 species
AUACCUUCCUGGUGCCGGGGCCUCGUUGAUCACCGAGGACGAGCCUCCAGUGCGAGACGCGGGCAUUACACUGCGCUCGCGUUGACGCCUGCUACUACCACAAACUGGGGCAGAUGGGGCAUGCAAAAUUGC